UACGGGAGGCAGCAGUGGGGAAUAUUGCACAAUGGGCGCAAGCCUGAUGCAGCCAUGCCGCGUGUAUGAAGAAGGCCUUCGGGUUGUAAAGUACUUUCAGUCGUGAGGAAGGUGUUAAGGUUAAUAACCUUAGCAAUUGACGUUAGCGACAGAAGAAGCACCGGCUAACUCCGUGCCAGCAGCCGCGGUAAUACGGAGGGUGCGAGCGUUAAUCGGAAUUACUGGGCGUAAAGGGCACGCAGGCGGUUAAUUAAGUUGGAUGUGAAAUCCCCGGGCUUAACCUGGGAAUGGCAUUCAAGACUGGUUAGCUAGAGUCUUGUAGAGGGGGUAGAAUUCCAUGUGUAGCGGUGAAAUGCGUAGAGAUGUGGAGGAAUACCGGUGGCGAAGGCGGCCCCGUGGACAAAGGACUGACGCUCAUGUGCGAAAGCGUGGGGAGCGAAACAGGGAUUAGAUACC
rnacentral:rRNA from 1 species